rnacentral:rRNA from 1 species
UAUCCUGUCUGAAUAUGGGGGGACCAUCCUCCAAGGCUAAAUACUCCUGACUGACCGAUAGUGAACCAGUACCGUGAGGGAAAGGCGAAAAGAACCCCGGCGAGGGGAGUGAAAAAGAACCUGAAACCGUGUACGUACAAGCAGUGGGAGCACAGGUUUACCUGUGUGACUGCGUACCUUUUGUAUAAUGGGUCAGCGACUUAUAUUCUGUAGCAAGGUUAACCGAAUAGGGGAGCCGGAGGGAAACCGAGUCUUAAUUGGGCGUUAAGUUGCAGGGUAUAGACCCGAAACCCGGUGAUCUAGCCAUGGGCAGGUUGAAGGUUGGGUAACACUAACUGGAGGACCGAACCGACUAAUGUUGAAAAAUUAGCGGAUGACCUGUGGCUGGGGGUGAAAGGCCAAUCAAACCGGGAGAUAGCUGGUUCUCCCCGAAAGCUAUUUAGGUAGCGCCUCGUGAAUUCAUCUCCGGGGGUAGAGCACUGUUUCGGCUAGGGGGCCAUCCCGGCUUACCAACCCGAUGCAAACUGCGAAUACCGGAGAAUGUUAUCACGGGAGACACACGGCGGGUGCUAACGUCCGUCGUGAAGAGGGAAACAACCCAGACCGCCAGCUAAGGUCCCAAAGUCAUGGUUAAGUGGGAAACGAUGUGGGAAGGCCCAGACAGCCAGGAUGUUGGCUUAGAAGCAGCCAUCAUUUAAAGAAAGCGUAAUAGCUCACUGGUCGAGUCGGCCUGCGCGGAAGAUGUAACGGGGCUAAACCAUGCACCGAAGCUGCGGCAGCGACGCUUAUGCGUUGUUGGGUAGGGGAGCGUUCUGUAAGCCUGCGAAGGUGGCCUGUGAGGGUUGCUGGAGGUAUCAGAAGUGCGAAUGCUGACAUAAGUAACGAUAAAGCGGGUGAAAAGCCCGCUCGCCGGAAGACCAAGGGUUCCUGUCCAACGUUAAUCGGGGCAGGGUGAGUCGACCCCUAAGGCGAGGCCGAAAGGCGUAGUCGAUGGGAAACGGGUUAAUAUUCCCGUACUUGGUGUUACUGCGAAGGGGGGACGGAGAAGGCUAUGUUGGCCGGGCGACGGUUGUCCCGGUUUAAGCGUGUAGGUGUGUGUUCCAGGUAAAUCCGGUUCACUUUAACACUGAGGCGUGACGACGAGGCACUACGGUGCUGAAGCAACAAAUGCCCUGCUUCCAGGAAAAGCCUCUAAGCAUCAGGUAACAUCAAAUCGUACCCCAAACCGACACAGGUGGUCAGGUAGAGAAUACCAAGGCGCUUGAGAGAACUCGGGUGAAGGAACUAGGCAAAAUGGUGCCGUAACUUCGGGAGAAGGCACGCUGACACGUAGGUGAAGUGAUUUACUCAUGGAGCUGAAGUCAGUCGAAGAUACCAGCUGGCUGCAACUGUUUAUUAAAAACACAGCACUGUGCAAACACGAAAGUGGACGUAUACGGUGUGACGCCUGCCCGGUGCCGGAAGGUUAAUUGAUGGGGUCAGCGCAAGCGAAGCUCCUGAUCGAAGCCCCGGUAAACGGCGGCCGUAACUAUAACGGUCCUAAGGUAGCGAAAUUCCUUGUCGGGUAAGUUCCGACCUGCACGAAUGGCGUAAUGAUGGCCAGGCUGUCUCCACCCGAGACUCAGUGAAAUUGAACUCGCUGUGAAGAUGCAGUGUACCCGCGGCAAGACGGAAAGACCCCGUGAACCUUUACUAUAGCUUGACACUGAACAUUGAGCCUUGAUGUGUAGGAUAGGUGGGAGGCUUUGAAGUGUGGACGCCAGUCUGCAUGGAGCCGACCUUGAAAUACCACCCUUUAAUGUUUGAUGUUCUAACGUGGACCCGUUACCCGGGUUGCGGACAGUGUCUGGUGGGUAGUUUGACUGGGGCGGUCUCCUCCUAAAGAGUAACGGAGGAGCACGAAGGUUGGCUAAUCCUGGUCGGACAUCAGGAGGUUAGUGCAAUGGCAUAAGCCAGCUUGACUGCGAGCGUGACGGCGCGAGCAGGUGCGAAAGCAGGUCAUAGUGAUCCGGUGGUUCUGAAUGGAAGGGCCAUCGCUCAACGGAUAAAAGGUACUCCGGGGAUAACAGGCUGAUACCGCCCAAGAGUUCAUAUCGACGGCGGUGUUUGGCACCUCGAUGUCGGCUCAUCACAUCCUGGGGCUGAAGUAGGUCCCAAGGGUAUGGCUGUUCGCCAUUUAAAGUGGUACGCGAGCUGGGUUUAGAACGUCGUGAGACAGUUCGGUCCCUAUCUGCCGUGGGCGCUGGAGAACUGAGGGGGGCUGCUCCUAGUACGAGAGGACCGGAGUGGACGCAUCACUGGUGUUCGGGUUGUCAUGCCAAUGGCACUGCCCGGUAGCUAAAUGCGGAAGAGAUAAGUGCUGAAAGCAUCUAAGCACGAAACUUGCCCCGAG